rnacentral:rRNA from 1 species
UGGGGAAUUUUGGACAAUGGGCGAAAGCCUGAUCCAGCAAUGCCGCGUGUGUGAAGAAGGCCUUCGGGUUGUAAAGCACUUUUGUCCGGAAAGAAAUCCUUGGCUCUAAUACAGUCGGGGGAUGACGGUACCGGAAGAAUAAGCACCGGCUAACUACGUGCCAGCAGCCGCGGUAAUACGUAGGGUGCAAGCGUUAAUCGGAAUUACUGGGCGUAAAGCGUGCGCAGGCGGUUUGCUAAGACCGAUGUGAAAUCCCCGGGCUCAACCUGGGAACUGCAUUGGUGACUGGCAGGCUAGAGUAUGGCAGAGGGGGGUAGAAUUCCACGUGUAGCAGUGAAAUGCGUAGAGAUGUGGAGGAAUACCGAUGGCGAAGGCAGCCCCCUGGGCCAAUACUGACGCUCAUGCACGAAAGCGUGGGGAGCAAACAGGAUUAGUACCCUGGUAGUCCCACGCCCUAAACCGAUGUCAACUAGUUGUUGGGGAUUCAUUUCCUUAGUAACGUAGCUAACGCGUGAAGUUGACCGCCUGGGGAGUACGGUCG